GACAAUUACAGGAUCAGUGCCCUGUUGUGAGGGACUGCUAUAGGCUAGUUGAGUGAGACACCAAAAGGAAGUAGCAGUGUACCAAGAACAGUUGGAACCGGGAGGCUCAGCUAUCGAGUGCUGAAUAAGAGCAACUGCAGCUACAGUAAAAGGCGACUGGAGACAAUCUGUCAUGUCAGAACACAGCUUGAUAAAUAUUUUACAGGCUAGCAGACGCUCCACUCCUCCUAACCCACUGCCAGACAAUGUCAGGACUCUCGGCAGCAACCUAUCACCAUCGGAGAUGAUCGCGUCAUAGAGUGAGGCCACCUCAGAACUAGUCCAGCCAGAGUGGGGAUAUUACAUUAAAUUCACCCGAAACCUUCAAUCAGAAUGACUGCAAGGGCUGGGAAGACGAAGAUAAAAGACUACUGGAAACAUAAACUGGAACAACCACUUAAGUAACUGGUGCAUAAAGUCAAAGUAAAAGCUAGAAAAAGUUGAUCAAAUUCAUAAC